UUAUGUGAUCGUCUCUCGCAUAUCAAUAAGCGGAGGAAAAGAAACUAACAAGGAUUCCCCUAGUAACGGCGAGUGAAGCGGGAAGAGCUCAAAUUUGAAAUCUUAAAGGGUUUCCCUUUACGAAUUGUAGUUUAAAGAAGUGUUUUCUGUUGAGGUUUUGGUAAAAGUUCUUUGGAAUAGGACAUCAUAGAGGGUGAGAAUCCCGUAUUUGACCUUUACUUUCAACUUUGUGAUACACUUUCAAAGAGUCGGAUUGUUUGGGAAUGCAGUCCAAAAUGGGUGGUAAAUUUCAUCUAAAGCUAAAUAUUGGCGAGAGACCGAUAGCGAACAAGUACCGUGAGGGAAAGAUGAAAAGAACUUUGAAAAGAGAGUUAAACAGUACGUGAAAUUGUCAAAAGGGAAGCGUUUGACACCAGUGUUGUUUUUCUGAAAAUCAAUUAAAGAACUGAUUAUGCUAAGUUGUUUAGACUUUAUCAGCUAACUGUUUAGUUUUGAGCUUUUCUUUAAUGCACUUUUCAGUUAACAAGUCAACAUCAAUUUCUUUUGCUGUAAAAAAGCUUGAGGAAGGUGGCUUGAGAUUCGUCUUAAGUGUUUAUAGCCUCUUGCCUAUGCAGUCGGAGAGAUUGAGGUCUGCAGCGUAGAUCCUUCGGGGCUAAAUGCAUUUGUGCUAAGUUAUAGCAUUUUAUAGACAACUUGUUGACUAUGAUUUGUCUUGUAGCUUACUCGCUUAUGUUAUUUUACCUACGCUUAGGAUGUUGAUCUACAGAGCGAGAGU
rnacentral:rRNA from 1 species